rnacentral:rRNA from 1 species
GACGUAGGGCGCGAGCGUUGUCCGGAUUUAUUGGGCGUAAAGGGCGCGUAGGCGGUUAAGUAAGUCGGGUGUUGAAUCUCCAAGCUCAACUUGGAGCUGCCACUCGAAACUGCUUUGACUUGAGUCUGGUAGGGGAACACGGAAUACCUGGUGUAGCGGUGAAAUGCUUAGAUAUCAGGUGGAACACCAGUGGCGAAGGCGGUGUUCUGGGCCAGUACUGACGCUGAUGCGCGAAAGCGUGGGGAGCGAACAGG